rnacentral:rRNA from 1 species
UACGUAGGUGGCAAGCGUUGUCCGGAUUUACUGGGCGUAAAGGGCGUGCAGGCGGUUUGUUAAGUGCAGGGUGAAAGCUCCCGGCUCAACUGGGAGAGGUCCUUGCAUACUGGCAAACUCGAGGGAGGCAGAGGAAAGUGGAAUUCCCGGUGUAGUGGUGAUAUGCGUAGAUAUCGGGAGGAACACCAGUGGCGAAGGCGGCGAUCUGGGCUGAUACUGACGCUGAGGUGCGAAAGCGUGGGGAGCAAACAGG